rnacentral:tRNA from 1 species
GGGGCUACAGCUCAGUGGUAGAGCGUAAGCUUAGUAGCAUGUACAAGGUCUUGGGUUCAAUUCCCAGUACCUCUU